AGAGUUUGAUCAUGGCUCAGGACGAACGCUGGCGGCGUGCUUAACACAUGCAAGUCGAACGGUAAGGCCCCUUCGGGGGUACACGAGUGGCGAACGGGUGAGUAACGCGUGGGUAAUCUGCCCUGCACUUCGGGAUAAGCCUGGGAAACUGGGUCUAAUACCGGAUAUGACUCCUGGCCGCAUGGUCUGGGAGUGGAAAGUUUUUCGGUGCAGGAUGAGCCCGCGGCCUAUCAGCUUGUUGGUGGGGUAAUGGCCUGCCAAGGCGACGACGGGUAGCCGGCCUGAGAGGGUGAUCGGCCACACUGGGACUGAGACACGGCCCAGACUCCUACGGGAGGCAGCAGUGGGGAAUAUUGCACAAUGGGCGGAAGCCUGAUGCAGCGACGCCGCGUGGGGGAUGACGGUCUUCGGAUUGUAAGCCCCUUUCAGUAGGGACGAAGCGCAAGUGACGGUACCUGCAGAAGAAGCACCGGCUAACUACGUGCCAGCAGCCGCGGUAAUACGUAGGGUGCGAGCGUUGUCCGGAAUUACUGGGCGUAAAGAGCUCGUAGGCGGUUUGUCACGUCGUCUGUGAAAUCCCUCGGCUUAACCGGGGGCGUGCAGGCGAUACGGGCAGACUUGAGUACUACAGGGGAGACUGGAAUUCCUGGUGUAGCGGUGAAAUGCGCAGAUAUCGGGAGGAACACCGGUGGCGAAGGCGGGUCUCUGGGUAGUAACUGACGCUGAGGAGCGAAAGCAUGGGUAGCGAACAGGAUUAGAUACCCUGGUAGUCCAUGCCGUAAACGGUGGGCGCUAGGUGUGGGGUCCUUCCACGGACUCCGUGCCGUAGCUAACGCAUUAAGCGCCCCGCCUGGGGAGUACGGCCGCAAGGCUAAAACUCAAAGGAAUUGACGG
rnacentral:rRNA from 1 species